rnacentral:rRNA from 1 species
GACGAACGCUGGCGGCGUGCUUAACACAUGCAAGUCGAACGGAGAGGCCCUGCUUGCCGGGUGCUCGAGUGGCGAACGGGUGAGUAACACGUGGGUGAUCUGCCCCUUAUUUUGGGAUAAGCCUGGGAAACUGGGUCUAAUACUGGAUAGGACCAUGCUGUAGGUGGUGUGGUGGAAAGAUUAGUUUCGGUAAGGGAUGAGCUCGCGGCCUAUCAGCUUGUUGGUGGGGUAAUGGCCUACCAAGGCGUCGACGGGUAGCCGGCCUGAGAGGGUGGACGGCCACAUUGGGACUGAGAUACGGCCCAGACUCCUACGGGAGGCAGCAGUGGGGAAUAUUGCACAAUGGGCGCAAGCCUGAUGCAGCGACGCCGCGUGGGGGAUGACGGCCUUCGGGUUGUAAACUCCUUUCAGCCAUGACGAAGCCCUUGUGGUGACGGUAGUGGUAGAAGAAGCACCGGCUAACUACGUG